CCUACGGGAGGCUGCAGUCGAGAAUCUUCCGCAAUGGGCGAAAGCCUGACGGAGCGACGCCGCGUGAUUGAUGAAGUCCCUCUGGGACGUAAAGAUCUUUUAUCGGGGAGAAAGUUUAUUGAUAGUACCCGAGGAAUAAGGGGUUGCUAAACUCGUGCCAGCAGCAGCGGUAAUACGAGUGCCCCAAGCGUUAUCCGGAAUUACUGGGCGUAAAGGGUGUGUAGGUGGCGAUGUUAGUCUCCUGUAAAAUUCUUCGGCUUAACCGGGGGCGCGCGGGGGAAACGGCAUUGCUUGAGGGUGCGAGGGGUCUGUGGAACUCAUGGAGUAGGGGUGAAAUCCGUUGAUAUCAUGGGGAACACCAAAAGCGAAGGCAGCAGACUGGCGCAUUCCUGACACUGAAACACGAAAGCGUAGGUAGCGAAUGGGAUUAGAUACCCGAG
rnacentral:rRNA from 1 species